rnacentral:rRNA from 1 species
GAUGAACGCUGGCGGCGUGCCUAAUACAUGCAAGUCGAGCGAACAGAUAAGGGGCUUGCUCCUUUGACGUUAGCGGCGGACGGGUGAGUAACACGUGGGUAACCUACCUAUAAGACUGGAAUAACUCCGGGAAACCGGGGCUAAUGCCGGAUAACAUUUAGAACCGCAUGGUUCUAAAGUGAAAGAUGGUUUUGCUAUCACUUAUAGAUGGACCCGCGCCGUAUUAGCUAGUUGGUAAGGUAACGGCUUACCAAGGCAACGAUACGUAGCCGACCUGAGAGGGUGAUCGGCCACACUGGAACUGAGACACGGUCCAGACUCCUACGGGAGGCAGCAGUAGGGAAUCUUCCGUAAUGGGCGAAAGCCUGACGGAGCAACGCCGCGUGAGUGAUGAAGGUCUUCGGAUCGUAAAACUCUGUUAUUAGGGAAGAACAAAUGUGUAAGUAACUGUGCACGUCUUGACGGUACCUAAUCAGAAAGCCACGGCUAACUACGUG